GGCCCCAGUGUAGCCUCUUCCGUCCAGCAACAACCCCGCACCAAGAGAGGUGAGCGGACUUGUCACAGGAUCAGUCUAAAGAUGGAUGAAUCAGCCUGCACCUGGUACUUAGCACUUUUACAUGGGCUUAUUCAGAAGUAUAUUUCAUUCUGCUUCUGAAUUAAUCUGUGAUUGAUUUAUUUUUUAAAAGUCAAUAUCUAAAUGUGUGUUUGAAAAUACAACAUGAAUAUAAAUAUGGAUUUAAAAUGCAUUUUCUCUCAAAAUACACAUUUUAAAAUGUGUUGUGAUGUAUUGGGGGGGGGGGGAGAGAGAACCACAUCAAAAUCUGGGAAGCACAGAGUUGUAUUUGUUACAAUCGAAUUCCCAAAGCAUCUCAAGAUCAACCUACCAUGCAACAUCAUCAAUGCCAGGUCUUAGCUUGGGACCAGAAUUAUACCAAUGAUGGCAUCAACUGGGUUUCUGAGAAGAGGACCUUCUACAGCCAGGGGAAGCAACACCAGAGAAGGUCCACUCUCAUACAUCCACAUAGUGUACAGGGGUCCCAUAGGUGAGAUGCAGAGGGGUGCCUGUAGGCAGGAAUAUAGAUAUCAGAACUGCAUAGAUAGUCUUGCUUCUUUACUUACAUUAUACACUUUCUGUGUAAUGUCAUCUAUGGACCAGGCCCAUCAACAGAGAUGAUAGCUUAGCAAGAGGGAGCAAAUCAACAUGGGUCCUUUCCCCAUUAAUUAUUAUCUACCCACUACUACCCGUUAUUCUUAUUGUGGCUUCAGUAAAAAUAUAAGUGCUUUGCCAUUAUACUUUUUUCUAUCCUGAAGAACAGGGGUGGCUAACACACAGCCUCAGGACAUGAUGAGGCUCCCUUACCCUACAAGGCCCCACUGAUUUUGGCAGUGAUGACAGCAAGUAGGCACAACACUCCACUGAGUUAAGCGCUCUGAUGGGAAUGGAAAUUGCACCCUCAAUGGUCACCAGAUUGAUCAGUCAAGAGAGGCAAUAAUUCCCUCCUCAGUUAAUGUUCAUGGAUUGUGUGUCCUGAGUGUGUGUGCAAGAGUGUGGGUUGCCACACUGGCAUGCGGUGGCAGGUUGACUGCAGGCAUGCGGGCCUUGGAAUGUAGAUCAAUAACAAAAAAGUUAGUCUCUCCUGCUGCAGAACAGGGACAGCAAAAUACUACCAGCACCCCAAAUAAUCUCAACCAGCUAUUUGCUCGACCAGAUUAAUUACUUGAGUAUUGCUCCUGCAUCUCACCCAUCUUCAGGGUAUUUAUCAGGCUCGGAAUACAGAGCACCUCAGCUCAGAAUUGUGCUGACCAAAACAAACCAUUCCUGUUUCAUAUUUCAAUCUGGAAAGUUUAACAAGAAAAACAAAACAAUCUGGGAGAUCUAAUGGUAAAAAUGUGGCAAGAAGCUGCAGUUCUAUCAAAGCAGACUGUUUGGAUUUGUGUCUUAUCCCAUGCUAUUUCAGCAAUCUCUGAAAUGUUUCUGGGGUUUUUCCCGUCUUGAUAUGAACAUUUUAAAGUUGAAAUCAUGUUAGUCUCAACAUGACCAUAUCUCAAUGGUGAGGGACCUGUGGUCCUCCAAAUACUGUUCAACUCCCAACUCCUCUCAGCCCAAGUCAACAUGCCCAAUGGCCAAGGAUAAUGGGAGUUGUAGUCCAGCAACAUCUUCAAGUUCUUAUAGUCCCCUCCUCCAUUAAGAGAUGUUGAUUAAGAAAGGAAGGAAAGACUUUUGUGCCACGUUAUAUCUCCCUUUCCCCUUCAGUGCUGCUUUUUGCAUUUAAUAAUUGCUACACUGGUCUAGGACUUCAUAGUGAAGCACAAAAAGGUGCUUCAUGAAAGAGGGAAAUUGAAAUGUCCUCAAAUGAACUCCCUUCUGCUAGAAAACUAAGAUCAUUCCGUGGUUCAGUAACUAAGUGGUACUAUCAUUUGCUGAUGCCAUUUAGAGUGUGCUAGAAUUGUUUCUCGCUUUCUGUCGGGGGCCCAGUGGGGUUAGAAGCAAACAGCAUGCUCCAGAGCAGGCACAGGUGAAGUCCAAAAGUUGUCACUGUGAAUCCAAGGGCCCUUUAGGCCAUUGACUUGGUUUUAAAAAAAGAUGACUGGAUUUCAGCACGCAAGCACAGCAGAGGCAUCUGUGUGGCUCCUCUAGAGAACAAAUUGCUCAGAUUAAAGAGGCAGACCUGGGACAGUUCUUCGGAAAGGCCAGCAGAGCCCCAUUAGCUCUCUUGGUCACCGGAUACCUUUGGGCUGCACUUCCCCGCUCUGCCAUUCUUACUGUGGUGCUGUGGAGCAGCAAACUGCUGAUGUGCAGAGGGGUCCCCCCCCCCCUUUAUCAAAAAGCUAUCAAAUAUCAGAAUUGCUUCAAUUGCAGCAUGGGGUGGAGGCUACCUGCCUGGCUUUGUGCAUUUUAUUUCUCCUGCCGUGGUCUGUAAAUGCCAAGUCUAUUUGCAUCAUGCUGUAUUCCCAGAAGUGCAAUACUCAUUCCCAGAAGUACAAUACUCUGUACAUUGUUCUCCUCUACUCCAUUUUUGAAACUGAAACUGCCAGAGAAAAUACUUGUCUGACAAGGGUGCUUCCCAUCUGAAUGUAGAGGUUCCAGUUGUAAAGGUUCCAGUUGUAUAUAUCAGCAGGCUUUUUGAAAAGCAAAUUUAUUUUUAUCUUAGGGUUACAGACCAAGUGAGUUUUUCAUUCAACAAACUUACACAGAAUUUAUUACUAAAAUGGGGGUGGCAAAUCUCUUCUUCCUGCGGCAGCAGACACCAUCAAUACACCUUUGGGUUUGACCUGUGGAAGCUAUGGAAGAUGCCUUCUUGAACAGGCCCCUUCCCCUGUGUCCUGCACCCCAACCCAGCAACAAUGAGCAAAUUCCAUGUAAGUUUAAAUUAACCAAAUACUUUGUUCAGCUAAUGCAACUCAUUAAAGUCUCUCCCAUUAGAGAUUAGAAAACAUUUUUUCUCCCUAUUUAAAGCAAAAUAAUGAACUGAAAGAACCAAAACUCUAAAGACCCCCAUUUUGUAUAAGAUGAACAUUAUGAGACCUGAGAGAACUCAUUAAGGAAACACUGAGGACAAUUAUAGUUUUACAGCAAUGGCCUCCAUAAGGAUCAAAUAUUUUUUGAUCCUUUUUUUUUUGUUUGUUUUCGUUUGAUGAAAACACCAUUGUCACUUUAAAUGAUGCUGUUGUGUGUGCCGCCAUGGGCUCUGAUAUAUUCUCUGAGUGAGUGACAGAUUUUCUCACAAUACUACUAAUGCAGCAAGGCUUAGAAGAUUUUAAAUUUACUGUUCUAAUUUUUGAGCAUUCCCUAGCUCUUCCAAGAGUAAAUAAUCUGUGGAACAAUCAAACGCUUCACCCUUUAAACUCCCUGCAGUGUUGAUUCAGACUAUCUCCCUCUAUUCUCUUCAGUCAAACACAGAGUGUGAGAAGAAGAAAACUUUUGCAAUAGAGCUUUCAGUCCCAAUACUCUUAGAGCAGACAUAUCUAUCAUAUAGAGAGUCCAGCAUCUCUCUUUCUAUCUGCAUUUGACAAGGCAGUUAUAUAUCACCCAGAGACGUGGUUCACCUGGGAUGCAAAAGAAGCAAGAAACAUUCAGGGAGAGAAAGAAGAGGGCAAGUAUCUUCCUUCCUACAGCUCGUCACCAGGAAAUCAAUCAGAAUAAUGUGUUUCUGAUGCCAAAGUACUAGUGGCCCCUCAAUAUAACAGCUUCCAGGACAAUAAUGUCCUUUUUUCCCCCUACUGGACAAGAGCAAGCUUUUAAUCAAGAGAACUGCAGUGGCAAUCAGGGGCUUGAUUGCCCACUGGAGGGAGUCCACAUUGCCACACAAAAUGACUGGAGAUGGUUUCAGACAAACCGAGGUUUGUGAACAGAACAUUCUCUGCCAGGGCAUAUGCUGGCAAUGGGCCCCUCCCUCUGCUCACAUUCACCUCCCUCAACAACCUUUUCUUUCUGGCUAUGUUUUUAAUAUAUCACCACAUGAGAAAUAGAAAUCCGGAAGCUAAGUUAAAACAUUUUCUUCACCAUUUAAUUAAAAGGUCUGUGGCUGCGUGUGUAGGUUUGCUGUCUGUGAUUUUAAUCAUGUGAGCAGAGCCUCAGGGGGAACACCCAGCGCUCACAACAAUAACCAUUUGAAUGGGUAGGAAGAUCACACUCAGGGGUGCAAUCUGCCGUCUUAUUACCCAAGAAAGGAAGGAAUAACGGAGGAAAGCUGGUCUGCCCUGCCGCACACCCAGUGCAUUUUGGUAGUGUGGAAAGACUAGCUCAAGGACAUGCAGAAUGUCCUGCGUUUGAUCAACAGCAUCCCCAGACAGGGCUGGCAAUGCCCCCUACCAGGAACCCUGGAGAGCUGCUGCCCAAAUACAGAGAUGGUGGGCCAGUGUAUAAGGCAGCUUCCUGCAUUCUUAUGAUUUUGGAUUUUUUCUUUUCCGGGGGGGAAAGCUUUCAGUUUUACCUCUCACUUUAAAAGCAAGGGAGUAGUAAUUAGUAUCAGGAAAACUAAAGGUUCUCCUUUGCAUUCCUGCAUCUCUUCUGGGUCCUCUUUCAUUCUGUAAACUGCAAAAUUAUCACAUGGGGAAAAUAUUGGAACAGGUUUGGUUUGUGGGUUUUUGCCUUGGCACAUGCAUAUAUGUGCACUUUGUCUCUUGUUUUUGGCAUUCUUCCCAGUUAUUUUCGUUUGUCCCUUGUGCUGCUUGAAAUACUCACAUGUUUAGAAGUUAGUCGGAUAUUUUUGCUUGUGCCCAACUGUAGCGUUCCACGAGCAAAAAUAAUGCUUUUGACAGAGUAGAGGAUCCCACUGGUGAAAAGGGGGGGAGACAACUUUUGUCAAUUCUCCUUUUGCCUUUUAACUGGAGAAGCUAGGACUGCAUCUGGGGCCUUCUGCAUGUGUCCCAUCACUGCGGCUGCGGUUCUUUCCACUGUGGCAAGGAUGUGGGGAGCACGAAGCUCUCUUUUGCUCUGGCUACCCCCCCCAUGCAAAACUCUCAAACCCUUGAUGCCUGCUUUGCUGCCUCAGCUGGGGCUGAUGGGAAUUGUAGCCCAAAAGCACCUGAAGGGCAAAUUGAGAAAGGCUGCUCCAAAAGAUGCCGAAACAGGAUGUCUCUUGAAAAUUGGGAACCUUUUUCUCUCGUGCAAACUCCGCAAAGAGGCUCCAGAAUUCAGCCAGGCUCUGGGGGAUUGUUCGCAUGAUCAAUUAGUGUGUACUUGAUUGCUGAGCUGCAGCUAACGCUUUAGAGUGCAGAAGCAGAACAAAAUCGCUGAGCUGCAAAUGCGCAGAUUAAAAUAGAGUGUGCUGGAGGACCAGGUGCAAAGGACUCCUCAAAAGAAUGAUUGUGCUAUACAUGGAUGUAGUGCCUUUUCUUGACUAUUUUGUUAUGCACGGAAGAAAGAGUGCUUAUUUUCACUCUUUUCAUCCGUGUGAAUUUUGCCUUGAACUGUACUGAUGCCAAACACAAUCUAGUAUUUUUUCAGGAGGAAUUUAGAUGCUUUCACUAUCCCAUUAUUUGCUAUGUCAUUUCUGCUCAAAGGGCACAGCCUUGGCUCUGCAGAAAUUAGUGAAAAACAAAAUUUUGAGAUAUUCUUCCUUUACAUGUUUUCAUUUGCAGUUCAUGAUGGCACAAGUAAUACUCAAGCAAGUAGGUGCCAACAAGCAUAUGAAUGUAAUUUGCUUAAAUUGUUUACUUCCAUGAUCAAUGAAUUUCCAUAUCCUUUAAAGCCAAAAUGUAUCUGCUGUAUGUUAUGUUCAAGUAAUUAAUAGUCCACAGACUUGUGGAUUCCAAAAACAACUAUAGAAUUCCUUACCAUGUGUGACACACUCCCCUCUCACAGAUUUGGGUUGUCCUGCCCCAUAAAACCUUGUUGAUGCAGACGUUUGAUUAAAGUGGCUGUGGAGCUGGGCAGUCCACUUACAAAGGAUCCCACUCUGGGAUUGUUUUGACGAAGUGCAGAUUGUAAAUUCUCAUAAAUAAAUAAAUCCCCAAGAACCCGCCCCCCCCCAACAUUCUUUGCUAUUAAAAUUUACACAAGAGUAGGACCAAAUGUGGGACAUGGGUGGCACUGUGGUGUAAACCACUGAGCCUUGGACUUGCUGACUGGAAGGUCAGCGGUUCGAAUCCCCGUGACGGAGUGAGCUCCCGUUGCUCUGUCCCAGCUCCUGCCAACCUAGCAGUGCAAGUAGAUAAAUAGGUACCGCUCCGGCGGGAAAGUAAACGGCGUUUCUGUGUGCUGCUCUGGUUUUGCCAGAAGUGACUUAGUCAUGCUGGACACAUGACCCGGAAAAACUGUCAGCCAGUAAAGCGAGAUGAGCACCGCAACCCCAGAGUCAUUCACGACUGGACUUAACUGUCAGGGGUCCUUUACCUUUACCUUUUUAGGACCAAAUGUAAAGAAUUGGUACCGCUUAAGAAUUCUGCAGAAGUUAUUUGCAAAUUUUUUCCAAUUCCAAAAGCCUAGAAUGCACCCCUUGUAAUUUAUGUGUAUGUAUGACCAGUAUAUUCCGACCUUCAUGGGAAUAACAUAAUUAAGGGACAAGUUAGUCUGGUUCUUUCAUCACUAUACUGUAUAAAAAAUACAUAAUACCAACAUGUGUAGUACAGUGUCUAACUCUUCACUACCACACAGACAUAAAUGGUUUGCAUAAGGUAUUACAUUAAGCCUUUCUUCUGAAACAGCUGGGUGGUGGGACAUUAGAAAUGAAUUUGUGCUAUAGAAUCUAUCAAUAAUAUGAUGAUGAAGGGAAUAAACUUUAUAUUCUAAAAGCCACCUUCUAAGACAAAAAAAGGAAUAAACAAAUUCCUGCAUGGUCAAUUUGCUGCUUCUGUUUUAUUGUAUUGUAGAAUUUUAAGAAUAAAACUAAUUGCCACAGGUGGAUGAUCUCACUGAGCACAGGGCCUGAUUGGAGAUAGUUGUUUCAUUUCAGAAAGCAAUUAACUGUCACUGUGCUAGAACACAGAAAACAAUUUCACAGUUUAGCAGAGCUUAGUGUUGUCCAUUGAUGAUGUUAGCUACCAAAGCAUAAAGACAUACACACAGUCUCUGUGAUUUCCAGGGCUAAUGUAAUUCAGUUUCAGCCUUAGCAUGAAGUUGCUGGGGGCAGCACAUUCCAUUUUCUUGCAACCAAUCUUUGUGUGCCAUUCAAAAUAUGAGUUUCGGUCUAUAGUGGGGAGAGGGAACAUCAUUUUUUAAUUUUUCUCUAGGCCAGUUCUGCUAUAAUUCAUGGAAUCUUUCUCAAUGUGAUGUCACAACUCAUACUAUGUUUUGAAAUGCAUGGAGUCGAAUGCAGCGGUAGUAUAUCUGACAUGGAAGAUCUACUCUCUCUCUGGCUUACUUCUGUGUGUUUUGUCAGAGUGCAUCGGCUCAGAAGCUCUCCAUAAUUCAAAACCAAUAUGGGGCAGAGUGUCGGCAUUCAUAUAGGUUCAUUACACUGGAACAGGUGCUUCAUUAGAUGUGGAGAUGUGGAGACUCUCCCUGUACUCUCAAGCCACAUUCACAUCAUACCUUUAAAGCACUGUGAUACCACUUUAAACAGUUAUGGCUUCCCCCAAAUAAUUAUGGGUUCUGUUGUUUGUUAAGAGUGUGGGAGUUAUUUGAUGAUCCCUAUUCCCCUCCCAGAGCUACAAUUCCCUGUGAAGAGGGAAUGAUAAUGAUCAGAAUUAUAGCUCUGGCAGGGAAUAGAAGUACUGUACAGUGGCGCUGUGGGUUAAACCACAGAGCCUAGGACUUGCUGAUCAGAAGGUCGGCGGUUCGAAUCCCUACGACAGGGUGAGCUCCCGUUGCUCGGUCCCUGCUCCUGCCAACCUAGCAGUUCGAAAGCAUGUCAAAGUGCAGGUAGAUAAAUAGGUACCGCUCCAGCAGGAAGGUAAACGGCGUUUCUGUGCGCUGCUCUGGUUCGCCAGAAGCGGCUUAGUCAUGCUGGCCACAUGACCCGGAAGCUGGACGCCGGCUCCCUUGGCCAGUAAAGCGAGAUGAGCGCCACAACCCCAGAGUCAGUCACGACUGGACCUAAUGGUCAGGGGUCCCUUUACCUUUACUUUACAGUGGUACCUUGGUUUACGAACUUAAUCCGUUCCAGAAGUCCGUUCUUAUACCAAAGCGUUCUUAAACCAAGGCGUGCUUUCCCAAAGCAGCAGGGGACUCAAUUUACAAAUGGAACACACUCAACAGGAAGUGAAACAUGUUCUUAUUCUAAGGCAAAGUUCACAAACCAAAACACCUGCUUCUGGGUUUGCAGUGUUCUUAAUCCAAGUUGUUUAUAAACUAAGCUGUUCUUAAACCAAGUUACCACAGUAUUCUAACCUUCUAACUAAGCACCCUUAACAAACUACAUCUUCCAGAAUUCUUUGAGGGGAGCCAGGACUGUUUAAAGUGUUCUAAAGGUAUGAUGUGAAAGUGGCCUCAGUAGGGUAGAUUGGGAUAGAGCUGGGACGUGGAACCUGGUGCUCUCUAUAUGCUAUUGGACUACAACUCCUAUGAUCCCUGCCCCAUUGCCCAUGCUGGCUCAGGCUGAUGGGAUCUGGAGCCCAAUGACAUCUGAAGAGCCAUAGGUUAUUCAUUCCUGGGGCUGAAAAUCUGUUUCCAUCUAAAGAUACUAUUUCUAACUAGGGCAUCUCUGCUUAUUAAGGGAGCAUCAUUUUUAGACGGCAUGAAAGUAGCUUGAAUGAGAGUAACAUGCAUGGCAAUUUCUUGCUGAAGGAAGAAGUUAGAUUAUGAAACUGGGUGUCUACAAACUUGCAGCCCUUCAUCAAUAAAACAAAGAGUUUACUCAUUUAACCACAGCAUCAUAGCUGUUGUUAUUUCAAAGCUAUUGGCCCAAUUCUUUUGGAUUUUUGAAGCACUUAUUUCAUUGCCAUCAUUCCUGUAUACACCGUAUCACAUUUCCAUAAGUAUUAAGAAUCUUAUAAAUAUUUAUGAAGCAUUAAAUCUCUGUCCACAUAAAUAAAAUAUUCACAGCACAUUAUUUCUCUUAUUCCCUCUGUUGCACCACUCACACCAAGACAACCACUUGCACAUAUGUAUAAGAAAUAGGUGUGCAUUAAACUAAAACCUUGUUGGUUCAGAAAAUAAUUUAAGUUACAAGAUAUGCAUUAGAAACAUUUCCUUUUUUAAAGAAAAAGCUGCAAGAUAAUAAACUACACCUGGUUGCAGUUUAACUUUCUAUACUAUCAAUUCAUGCCUUUGUGCCUUCCAGAGUAGACUAUUGCAAUGCCCUCUACAUGGGGCUGCCCUUGAACACUUUGUGGAAACUUCAUUUAGUUCAAAAUGAUGCUGACUAUCUUCUGAUGGGCUCAAGCCACAUAACCUCCAACAUUUCUCUGAUGACAAUAGGGACGUCCUAUUCCACAAUGAUCAUUUUACUAUUUAUACCCCACACAUCUUACUGGGUUUCUCCAGCCACUCUGGGCAGCUUCCAACCUAUAUAAAAAAAUAACAAAGCAUUUUUUUUUAAAAAAAACUUCCCUAUACAGUAUUGCCUUCAGACAGCUCAUGGGUCUGAUAACUCCAUAGCCUCCAACAUUUCUCCAAUGAAAACAGGGAUGUCUUAAGGAAAGGCAGGACAUUCUGGGAUCAAAUCAGAAACCGGGACAGCUUCUCUAAAUCAGGAACAUCACUGGAAAAUAGGGACACUUGAAGGGUCUGAAGCCAAUGCAUGCUUAUUACAUCUGUCCUACAAUAGCUCCAUAAGCUACCAGAAUAUUUCUGGACCUAAUUCAGUGUUAUGUUCUUGACCUAUAAAGGCCUAAAUUGUCUGGCCUUGUGAGCUCCAUCUCCCAUAUGAAUUCCUCCACACUUAAAAGAUCAGUCAAUAAUGCCAUGUUGAAGGCUUAUUUGGACAGAAACUUUGCAUUUACUUGAAACGUAGCCUUUUCAGUAGUUUCAAGAUAAACUGCAACUACUACAGUGGUACCUCGGGUUUAGAACUUAAGUCAUUCUGGAGGUCCGUUCUUAACCUGAAACUGUUCUUAACUUGAGGUACCACUUUAGCUAAUGGGGCCUCCCGCUGCUGCUGCGCGAUUUCUGUUCUCAUCCUGAAGCAAAGUUCUUAACCCGAGGUACUAUUUCUGGGUUAGCGGAGUCUGUAACCUGAAGCGUCUGUAACCCGAUGUACCACUGUAUUUAUAAGGUGCCUUUUUAUGGCAGAAACCUACCAGGCUGGCUUCCAACCGUAUAAAAGUAAUAUAUAAGGUGUAACGGGUUUAAAAUGUGAAAAAGAAAAUGGGCGCUUCCAGAUGCAAGCUCAUUAUCACAAACAAGUCAUUUGGAAAUCGCAAAGUGGUAGCUAGCAAAAACAAACACAAUUAACCAGAUCCCCACCCCACCCCCUCAGAUGUCUAAAUCUGGAUUAAAUGGAAGGAAAAUAUAGGCUGCUCAUUUGUUGCCGAUGACCUAGUAUGGAUUCUGUGAAAAACAUGCAAGCAUGAAAAUGGAAACUGUUCAGUGGAAACUGUUCUAUGGAAUUGAUCUCAUUGAGAGAGAUGGCCUCCUAAGACCUUCACCUUUUCACUGCAGCCAAGCAGAGUGAAGAUUGGCCCAGCAGGAGAAGAAGCGCAGGAAUGAAGCCAGAAGUGGCAUCUGGCAGGCCUGGGGAUCCUCUACUGGAUCUUCCACUACAGCAAUUACUCAGAUUAUGAAGCUGGCCAGCAGCACCUCUGUCUACCUUGCUGUACUUUUAAUUGGCCACAGUGGUGGUAGAAGCGGCAGAUCCCCAGUAGUGGUGUUGGCCAGCCUGGGCUCUGGAUUUGGGGCCCCAGGGCUGACAGGCAAAGGGCCAGUGGAGCUGGAGGGCUGCUGCAGCUGGUUCUGUCUGUCUCUCGACAGGUUUCCUGGGCCAACCACCAACUACCUCUCAUCACAUUGUUCUGCCUGGAUGCUGAGGUCCAGCGCCAAGGGCCUUCUGGCGGUUCCCUCAUUGCAAGAAGCAAAGCUACAGGGAACCAGGCAGAGGGCCUUCUCGGUGGUGGCACCCGCCCUGUGGAACGCCCUCCCAUCAGAUGUCAAAACGAUAAACAACUACCUGACAUUCAGAAGACAUCUUAAGGCAGCCCUGUUCAGGGAAGUUUUUAAUGUAUGAUAUUUUAGUGUUUUUUGGUUUUUAUGGAAGCUGCCCAGAGUGGCUGGGGAAACCCAGCCAGAUGGGCGGGGUACAAAUAAUAUAUUAUUAUUAUUAUUAUUAUUAUUAUUAUUAUUAUUAUUUGCAGUGCCGCUACCUGUCUGUAGCCAGGAGAACUGUAGUGUGAUGACACUCUUGCAUUUUUAUUAUAUGUAAGGUAUUUGGCAAAAGAGGUGAAGGUACAGAUAUGGAAAGUGUUUCAGCAUAUAACUGAAGCAAAAGCUUAAAGGAAAGCACCCAUGACCAUUCUGUAAAAUCCAAAGCAAAGAUUUGAAUUGAAUAUCACCAACAGACAAAAUGCCACCUAGGAAUCUAUUAAUUCAUACCAUAGUUCAGGGAGGGAGAAUAUUAUUGCUACUGCACAACCCUAGUUAUUGGCCAUGCUGAUUGGGGGAACUGAUGGGAGUUAGAGUCCAACCAUUUCUGGAGAGCCUCUAGUUCCCCAUCUCUGCUGCCAUAUAGCCCCUAUGGGUCUUAAGGGUUGUUCGAAUCUGCACAAUGGGGUGAGCUCCUGUUGCUCUGUCCCAGCUCCUGCCUACCUAGCAGUUUGAAAGCCCACCAGUGCAAGUAGAUAAAUAGGUACCGCUGUGGUGGGAAGGUAAACGAUGUUUCCAUGCACUCUGGUUUGUGUCACGGUGUUCCAUUGCACCAGAAGCUGUUUAGUCAUCCUGACCACAUGACCCAGAAAGCUGUCUGUGGACAAACACCGCCUCCCUCAGCCUGAAAGCGAGAUGAGCUCCGCACCCCAUAGUCGCCUUUGACUGGACUUAACCGUCCAGGGGUCCUUUACCUUUUACCUUAAGGGCCAUACUACUGUGCUAGAAUCUGGAAGCAGAUCUGGGAUAUACAAGCAGCUCCUACAAGAACAAGGGCUGCCUACUCAUUUCACGUAGAACCAGUGAGAACAAAAGCAUGCAUAUUUAUAGAAGCAAUUGAGAGCAAGAGGGAUACAUUAGCACACCGGAACUCCUGUACCACAAGAAAUUAUUGGAACAGGAUGAGACAAGAGUAUUUAUUUGGUUUUCAGAGGUCAGCUAAGGUGAGGGCCUUUUCCCUAUAGCAGCCCACAGCUGGUGGAGAACACCUGGCAAUGCAGAAAGACUGUUGCACAGCUUCUGGGCAGAUCAGCUGAUUCCCCAAACUGUUCUGUUAACUGACAUAAAAGGUUGAUAUUUUUAUUUGAUUCAAUUUUUUAUAUCUUUGUGUGUGUGUGUGUGUUUACUUUUUAAGGUUGCAAGGCAAAGGUAGUAAGUAGCAGAUCUGUUGCUACAAAUAGGGAAACAUGUAACUGAAUAAGUCAUCCCAAGAUCUGAGUGCAUUUCUCAGUGGGAAAACGUUUGGUAUUGACUUCAUCUGUGGCUUUGUGAUCCACAAUAUUCAAAAAAGGAACAGAACUAUACUUACUGGUUAAGUUGCAAGGUUUCCUUUAACAAAACUGUACACUGCUUAGAGAUCUUCAAAAUACUAAGGCAUUUAUAAAACCUUUUAAAUAAAUUCAUAAUUUUCUGAUGGAUUACACAGUGUGUGCUGCCUUUCAAUGGGAGUGGAUGGUCCUGGGAUUGCAUCCAAGGCUAGUCUUACGCAAGGUAGACCCAUUGAAGUUAAUGGAUAUAACUAACUCAAGUUUAUUAAUAUCAGUGGGUUUACUCUGAGUAGUACUAACAUUGGAUACAACCCCUUCAGCUGUAUACCGAAUACUUUUUUGCCCCUUUCUCUCUCUCGCUACUCAUUUUCUUUGUGUUCAUGAUCUCACUUUUCUGUUUUAUAUUUUUGUCUGCACUAAAUAUCUUAACCUCUUUAUGUAUUUGCCAGCUGUUUUUAUAAGAUACCUCUGGGCCAUUUUAGCUACCCUUUUUUAUAUUUCUGUCAGCUACCACAUCCUUUUCUGAAGAGGUGGAGCAAGCAGAAUUGCAUAUGAUAUUCUAAAUAUAAACACAUUAAAAAGUGUCCGAAUGAGGUGGACUAAAGUGCACACCAGAAUUUACAGCGUAAUCCUAUUGAAUUUAAUGGGAAUUUACUCUCAGGUAAAUGGUGUUAGGAUUGAAGGCUUAGCUUUGGUUUUGCAUUUCCUAAAUAGUCCAGUGCAGUUCAUGGCUCAAAAAAAAAAAUCAAUACAUUUCAAAAUGCACAUUUUGUGGGGGAAAUACAUUUAGAAAUAUGUAAGUUAUGUAUAUUUUAAGAGAAUAGUAUUUAUAUGCAUUGUGUGUAUGUGGGCUUUUUUUUAAUGCAGAUUGAUGCAUAAAACAGACAGAAUUAAACAGUAAAAUUUGCACGCUCACAAAGUCCUUUUUCCUGCCCAGAAAGAUUAUGACAUGGUUAUGUGUUGUAGUCAAGACCAGGAUACAAGUACAUAAAAAUCCAUAAAAAUUUGCAUUGAACAUGAAAUACAAUUACACCCAUGCUAACUUUUACUAUGUUAUUUCUAUUAUUGUAAGUUGUUUUGGAGUGUUGUUAACAUGUGUUUUAAUUGUAACAUGUCCUGUGACCUUUAAUUGUAACAUGUCCUGUGAAGAGCAGGUAAUACAUACAUACAUCAGAUGUAGCCUCCAUAUUGCUGAAAUAUCCAAUGAGGAAAUUAAUUCUGUGUAUGUACAUAUAUAGACAUCAAUCCUUUUAUAUGGAUUUAUAGUGUUACUUCACUAUCAUUGUAUUUUCUGUUCACUGUCUUAACUGCCAUUGUAAUUUUGCAUACGUGUUCUUUUUCUUCUUAUGUACCUGCACCCUGCCAUGUACCUAACCAUAUCAUUACCUUUGGGAGUGCAAAGGGGAAAUAUGUGCACAACUUUUAUCUUUUUGCCUUAUCCCUGCCAUAUUCAACUUUAUUCUCAACUCCGCAAAGUCAGCCACCUUCUUUCAAACUUGGGAGUUGAAAUAUAGGAAGCUUAACAAAUACAGGACAUUAUUCAUACAGUAAAUAAAAAAUUGAUUGCCUCUAGGUCUGGGGGUAAGGUAAUGCCGGUAAAGUGACAAUUUGAUUUAGAUCACUCAUUCAUGCAUGCACAAUGCUUCAAACAGCCUUUUGCAUUCGCACAUGAAUUAAACAGCUUGUGAUUGAUGAGGGAGCAAGAUCUAAUUGGUGUUUUAAUAAAUACACUCUGACUUGAUAAUAUAGCUAGAUUUAUCAGCAGAAAAUGCCCCUGUCUAAGUAAAAUUAUUAAGGUAUCGCACAGGAACCAUGACAAAUGCCAGGGAAGUAAUUGGCUGUAGUAUCGGCUCAGGCAGUAAAUGGGGAUAGGGUAGAUUUAUGUGCUUUUUAGUACUAGGAUCUUGAAUAAAAAUCUGGAAGACAAACAAGACUAAGAGAUGGCCUGGCAAUAUUACUAUUUGUUUCAGCUGGGCCAUGUUCACAGAUGACAAAGAUAUCUGAAUGAGGACUUUUUCUAAGGGAGAAAGGCUUCAGCCCCCCUUUCUGUUUUGCCACAGCUAUCAGCUCAACGCUGCAUGUUCCUGCUUGUGUGAAACCUCCUGCAAAUAAUCUGCUUAUUGUGAUAGCAUCUUGAAAAACUACUGUUCUCUUGCCAUUCCUACCUUGUUCCCCCUCACACAUGUUCAGUAUGUCACAAAAGGCAUGGUACAUCAUGUGUUGAUCACAGAACCUAGAGCAUCAUUUUGCCUGCCUUCUGGUGUGGUCCACUUGCAACCAUUACAACAGUGAUUGGGACCCAGUAAGUGGAAGGAUCCCAAAACUCCAUUAGGAAAUGAUCAUCAUUAUCUUUGGCAUAGUCAGAGGUGCCAUCUUCUUAAGAGGGUUGAGAGGGCCCAUGCACAAGGCCAUGCAACAUUAUGACAGCAUAUGCAUGAUGCUGCGAGGAGCCAGAGGGUGGAGCCAAGUGCCUCCUGAAUAUUGAGGUGGUUUGGCCCCCUCAAAAAUACUUGGGGGGGGGGACUCCCUAGGAGUUGGUCACCUGGGCAUGUUUGACGCUCUGGUGCAUAUAGGUGAGAACAUGUCCACUACAAAAUGGAGAAGUAAGAAAAAGAACAAGCUUGGCAUGCAAAAGGUCUGAGGUUCAAGUUAAGUCCAUUUGGAAGGGGCUUCCAACCUUCAGGGGUGGCUUUUCACAAGGCAGAAAAAGCCAGCUAUAUUUCUUGGCAUUUUCAGGUGUGUGCAUUCAGGGAAUUUAUCUUAGUUUUCCUUGUAACAUCUUCUGUAUCCAGGAUCUUCACUUGCAGUGAUCCAUGACAGCUUGGAACCUCACCAGUAUGCGCCCAAGAGAUGUUUGGUCAGUCACCUCUGAUGCCACUGAUCAUCCAGGGGUUGUUUGUGGAAUGGAAUUCAAGUACCACUCUCUGUUCCCAUCUGUCUCCACCAGUAACGUGGGACCUCAUCUGGCAUCUGAACCUUUGGUCCUCUAUGGAUGUGGGAGGGAAAGGAACAUGGAGAACACUACUGGGAAAGGUUGAAGUGUAGGAAAUCAGAUUUUUAAAAAAUCUUAAAGCAUUAUGUCAAUGCGGUAAAGUAUUCAGCACCAUGUGUAAGGAAAGGUGAGCAAACAUAUGUGUAUUCUGAAACCGUUAAAAUUUAUGAAUACUUGGAAGGUUUGUGGGACAGUGCCCCAUUUGCGCCAAUGCACCAGCCUCAACCUUUAACUGGAUAUUUGUAAUUAUUAUUUUUUAAAUGAUAUUGGUUUUGAUGAUAAAUAACUGCUCUUUUAUUUGCUUGUUGUUGCUGCUGGUUGUUGGUUUUUUGCAAUUUGACAUAGAUUUAAAAUACAGUACAUUCUGGUACUCAGUGUAGUCUUAGGUCUUGUUGACACAUGGUUUUAAAUCCCAUGCAUAAUCUUUUAAUCCUGUAACCAAAUACAAACCAUUUCUAUCCCUGAAAUAUAUACAAACAUUUGCAUUUCUCCCAUCCAUGCACACUCCUUUAGUUUUCCCUAUGCAAGACACAGCACACACACAACAUUUGAAUGGCAAUGCUCAUCAAGGGAGGCCUGGCCCCUUCAAAUACUUUAUUUGGGGGAGAGGCAAAGAGACCUUGGCCCCUGGGAGUUGACUCCUAUGCUUGGAUUCUAUAACCAAUUUUAUUCUGAUUCCAUUCCUAUCCUAUCCAAUUUACUCUCACAUUUUCGCCCUCCUUCCUUUAUCUAACCAUCCACAUCUGCUAUCAAUUAUUCCUCCCACUCACUCAUAUUUCUUUAGGAUCCUCUAAUGUAGAAGUUCCAAUUCUCCUGCACAUUUUUUUUUUUGCAUGAUUUUGCCCUGUGAUAAAAAUCAGUUUCUUUUUCUCUCCCAUCCUACUCCAGAUACUCCACAUUUCAUCUUUCAACUCCCAUUCUUAAAUCUUUCUUCUUCUUCCUGGCCAUUUGACACACUGAUUCUCUUAGAGUUGGCUGGCACCCUCUCAUUUUAAUGAAGUCUGUCACUCAUAAGGCUGUCUGGAGUUGGUGCUGGCUCCAUCUUCUCCUUUUUUGUCAUUGAUUGUCCCUGAUUAACACUCCAGCAUCACCAUCUCUUUUCUUUCUUUUCAUUAAAGGAGCGCUCACCCUGCCUUGAUUAGUUCAGGCAAAAGGCACACAAUGUUCCUCACCCCCCAGCCCUUCCUUUUAGUUAUCUGAGCUCUCCCCACCCCACCCCACCCCCACUUUUCAGCAUUAUUAAAUUAAGCUGAUUUUCCCAUUAUCAUAUAUUUCUUCUGAUACCACUGAUUUCUUCUGAUGAUAUAUUUUAGGUAACAAGAGGGUGGGGACGGCUUUCCUUACUUUGUACAAUCCACAGCCUCUGGAAGAUGUCUCAGAAUAUACAGUAUAUUCCCAUUUAGCCCUCCACAUCAAAAUUGCUUGUUAUGUACAGUUAGAUUAUGCAUAUUUAUUUCAUAAUUAGUUUACACAUCUAAUCCCAUAACCUGGUUCUGAUAUCUUGUAAUUCAUGUCUGCAGUUCCACCCAUCACUGCUGCAUAUUGGAAAGGGGUUAUAGUUAAGGCUAUAGGUAUUCUGGAUGAGGAAUAUAGCAUCUUGAAAAUCACUACUUUUGUUUCUUUAGAGCAAGUGUUUAUCUCUGUAACCUAUGACUGUGAAGAUAGUCUUGAAACUGUGCACAUAUGGAAGAAUCAUCAAAGCCAGAAGAGAGCUCAGGUGAAGAUGCCCUGCUCCCUACCUACUGAGCCCCUUGAGGCCACUUUGUGAACACAUUUUGUCCACAGACAUGACAAUCAGUUUCAAAAUAAAUUGUGCAAAAUAGAAAAAAAAGAAGAUUGAGAUGUAACCUGCCCUGCUUCUGAUCCACUGCAUAUCGCUAGGUACCUUGACCAUUCUACUGGAACAUUUUUUUCAGUUUCUUAAGGGUUUAACUACAUUUACAUUAACUAUAUUGUUUACAACAACAUCAGGGGAUUUCCCCCCUUAUUUCUUUCAUCCUAGACAUAGUGAGGUCCUAUUUUCAACUACACUGCAGAGUGUAGAGUAGGGAGAUCAAACUUUUUUCUCUCCUGCCACUUUCACACCCUCAAAACAAAAAACUCCCAGCACUGUAAUUACCAAUAGAAAUUCCAUGUGUCAAACCAUGCUUAAUGUUAACAUAGUGUAGUUAGGCCAAUGAACUUUUUACUGAACUUGCAAAACUUUCAAAUUUCAGUCUCUAAGAAGUACAAACAAGAAAGAUUAUUCCCUAUAACUUUCCAGUGUGUCCUCCUUAUUCAUUUUUAAUCCAUAGCUAAAGGCUAUAUUGGAAUAGGUGUGUUGGGAUCACUUGCUACAAACCUACAAAUCUUGAGGGUGGGGUGGAGGGAAUAUAAGGCAGACUUGAAGUUUUGUGUGAAGUGUAGCACAUUAAAUGCAAAGCUAUUACAAAUAACUUUUAAUAAAACCCAUGUUUGCUAAGUGAUGCAGUCAGGCUACCGAGCUGUAGCCUUCUUCAGUCUCAGCCAGCCAGCUCUCUUUGCAGGAGAUACCCUUCUGCUGCUAGGGGAGGCAUAGCUGAUCUUGGCAGCACCAUAGGAGACAGGUGCGUCCUUGAUUAUCAACAGUGUGGUGAUGUAUGCUGUUGCUAUUAAAUGAGAUGAACCAUAACUCGUACAUCUGGACAGUUCCACAGUAUCGGUAGAGAAUCCCCAAAUACAACAGAUCAGGUAGCAGCAAAACGUCAUGUUAAAAAUGAUGGAGAAAGGUUCAUAAAUGUUUUGUGGAGGAAGCAGUAAUGUCAGACAUUUCCCUAACUUUGUAUAAACCAGAGAUAGCCAGUGCAAUCCUACGUAACUGUAAAACCCAUGUAGCUGCUACCUCAUGCUGACAACAUAGGUGUGUGCGCUGGGGAUAGAGAGAACCUUAACUUGACAGCUACAGAAAGUCUUAGGUUAUUCUAUACCUGGUUUAAAGCUUUUGCAUCCAUCAGGGAUGAGGAACUUGUGACACAACUUUCAGCUGUAGUUGAAUUCCAGCUCUCAUUAGCCCCAACCAGCAUGAGCAAUGUGCAAUCAACGCAGAGUCUUCUUUAUAAACAGAAUGAAACUUUACUGAAGAAAAUAAACUUGUUCAGAAACAACAUAGUUAAAGAGCAUACACAGAGUGCUCAUGGCAGCUAUCUGACUCUUCACAGAGGCAUAGUCUUAGUUACUGAUUUAUUAGAGUCCUGGGGCCACCCUGUCUGUCUUGGAUUUACAUUCACAGCAACAUGUUAGAAAGCGGGUUCUUCUUCACGGAGAGCAUGUGUUGUGGUGGGAGCGACCAUGACAUUCCCUGUUGCUGGGCGGGUUAGUUUGGAUGGCCACGGAUUUGACGGGGUACCUCCAAUAUUGCUGGGGAAAAUUGAUUGUUGCAAUUUUAUUUGAUUGAUGGGGGUGCUAUAUAGGUCCCUGUGUGCAGCGUUGGGCUUCUUCUUUUCGCUGCACACAUCGGAUUACCCGCCCACCCUCCCUUUAUUUAGGGUUUGUUUGCUCUGACCUUGCUAUGUCUGUCAUGGGGUCGUUUGCUUUUGAGCAGGGGCCCGGUAGGAAUUUUACCAUUUGGCUGAUUGGCUGGUGCCAUUUGGGUUUUGCCUACUGCGUAGCAAAUCAUCACAACUUGUAAGUUGAGGUUAGGCAUUGGUUAAUUUUUUGGUUGGUGGAGGGGAUGAGGUUGGCUGUGCCUGCCCCUUCAAUGCUGCUGCUGCAAGGGUAUUCCGUUAAAGGAAUCCAGGGGCUCACCAUGCUUUUGUCCGUAUCUCUGACAAAGGGCUAGGGCCAUGCAAGAGCCCCAGGGAGCAUUUGGGGAGAGGUGUGAGCCUGGCACCCAGCUUUUUCUCUCCCCAAAACUGCUUACCCUUACUGACUUCCGCAUGGGUGUGGUUGUCAGUUCUGUUCCUACCUCCAAGUGGGAACAGAUAGUCGCUAACCAAUGCCUAAGCAACCACUCACUGUAAUUCAAUAAAGUUGUGGCCAAAAUUAUGCCAAAAACCAAAACAAAAAUGAUGUGUGAAUGUGUUUUUAUUCAGGGGUGUCUUGGGGGUCCUCGACACGCAACAUCACAGACACUACACUGGGCCUGCCUGCAAACAGGACACAAAUUUAUAGAGAGAAUGAGUCAUCCUGUAGAUGAGUCACAAUGAUUCAGCAGUUUGCUGUUAACAGUUAGAAGUUAGCAGGCUUAGGCUUGAAUGGUUGUGUAGGCCUUGUAGGACUUGCCUUACUUCUUCUGCUCUCAAGAACCUUUGUCUCAUGACACAAUGGUCAGAAUUACUAGAGCUGUAGUCCAACAGCAUUUGGAAACAGUAGAGGCUGGUCCAUAAUUCUCUUUGAAUUUGGCUCAAGCUGGAUACAAACCAAGUAAUAGUGGCUCACUAAUAGUGGCUCACUUAAGAUCCACUGAGAGGACAACUGGGGUGUGGGAAAUGAUGCUUUCUCACACAUAGUGGUUUUCUGUUUCUUGGUGGUUUAGAAUCAAAGCAUGUAGCUAUAUAGGGUAUGUGUCACAGCUGUAUCAUUGCAAAGUUCAAAUAAACCAAAUUAUCAAGUGACCCGAAUCCAGAAUCUGCAAUUGCAUGUACAUGUUUUUCAGUAGAAACUCUCAUAGAAUGUACAAGAGUAGGCACAUUGAAAUGAAAUGACUUGAUAGUCAUUACUAAUGUUCAUUAAUUUAGAUGGGUCUACUCUGAAUAUUACAUAGUUGGAUACUCUCUCUGACUCCAGUCUGCAGUACAGGCAUCACAACACCAGCCACCCUCACCCUCAUCACUGAGAUAAUGCUGAAAUGCAUUAUAUAAAAUGUUAAGUAUUAGUAUCCUUAACGACAACAACAACUGAAGAUGUCUGUAUUAACCAUAGAGGGACCAUUGCUUAUUUCCUUGCUGAUCUAUCAUGUUUAAACAUCUCUUUGAUGUAUCCUUGAGUAAGUGACAUGAAUUAUUUCUGUAGUUAUCAGGAGUUAUCAUAGCCUCAGAAAUGUAAUUUACUCUGCUGCAUAGCUAGCCUUGUUUGUCACCGUAUACUUGCCAUUCAGGUCUGCACAUAAUCCUUUGUGGUAUUUCUUGCUGACAAUAUGUAAUAAUAAAUAACUCAUGCUCUUUCCAGCAGAGCCUUAUUCCUUUUUAAUAGAAUAGAACCAAGCUUAUGCUCCCCCCCCAACCAGCAAUUCUCUUUUUUAAAAAAUCGCCAGGCUUUCUUUAUAGAAGGUCCCUAAAAGUAUUUGAACCCGGAUACAACAUCUUUUAAGCACCCACCAUGAAGUUGGUCAUCUUGCCAUCUUGCCUGUGGUGCACCUGGAGCCUAGUUUUGUGCUCCAUGUAUUUCAAUUCAAUACCAUCUAGACUCUAGAGAAACCCAAAAACGCUAAGAUGUUCUAUGCAUGAGAAUGCCUGUGGGAAGAAAUAUGACAGGGUAAUCAAAUGCUUGAAGGCACAACAAAGAGCCCGGUUCCAUGUGGGAAGUUCCCAUUGGUGCCAAUAGAGGUUUUCUUUGAAACCCAAAGAGCAGCUUUUGAGAGCUAUUUUGGGUUAGAAUUGUGGCAGAGAGAGUUAACCUUCAUGUUGGGAGGUGUCAACACAGCCCACCCUGUUCCCUUCUGUUUCUCCCAUGGCACAGCCAAAAAGCUGCACCAGAAGGGUUGGAAAUCGGGGUGUGGAACGAGGCUGAAGAAGCCCUGACACACACAAAGCAAGAGGUCAAGCGGUGGAUGUGUGCAUCUCAACGAAGUCCUGAAUGAGCUGAGUGGGUGACUGAGAGGAACGGAAGAGACAGAAUGGUGGGUGAGUGGGGAAGCAAGUGGCAGAAAUAAGGAAGGAGAGAGGAAAAGGGGAUGGAGCAAAGAAGGGAAGCUUUACCUCAGAGGAGGAAAGGGCAAGGAGCAAGCAGGGAGACAGGAGACAUUCUGGGGCUGUUAAUUCCCCACUGGUGAAUCAAGAGGAGGGAGAAUUAAAAGGUGUGGUGAAAGGGACUAUGCUUUACAGUAAAAAGGGCAUGAUCUGUUGGUGACGUGAGCUGCAAACACAAAGAGUGAAUGGCUCACCAAAUGGUCAACGGGUAAGAGAUAUCUUGGGGCUCUGAAGAUUCUGGACACCUAAGCAGGGAGGACCGAGCAUGACCUUUCUUAUGCCUCAUCCCAUAGUCCUGUAGCUGCUUUUUGAAUAAGAAGUGAAACCCAGUUAGCCUAGUCUCAGCAUGAUUGCUAUAGGACUGUAGUAGUGUGCAGGCAGGCUUUUUCAUUGGUAGCAUCAGUGUUAUGGAAUGCACUCUCUGUUGAAAUAUGAGAAGACCCAUCUGUAUUAGCAGUCUUUUGACCUGAUUCUGCCGUUUUAAUUCCUGUAUUGUUUUAAUGAGAUUGUUACACUGUGUAUUUUAAUCAUGGAUGUUUAUAUUUUAAUGUACCAGGUUUUUAUACUUUGUAAACUGCUGACCAGCUUCUUUUGGCUUUGGGUGGUGUAUUAAUAAACAACAACAACAAUUCCAUAUGCGUUAACUGCAUUUAUACAAUGAAUGUCACCUCAAAGUACAUCUAGGCAGCCAUAUUUUCUUCUGUGCAAUUUCCCAGGAAGGGAGUGCAUGAUAUGACAUAGAGUUGCUUCCUGGAAAGAUUUUUUUAAAGCUGGAUUUUUAUAGAAUUGGUGAAUAAUUUAAUGCUGCCCUUUUCUUUUUGUGUGCUGGAGUUAUGAAAUUAUUUUUAUUAUAUUUGUUUUCAUUGCAUUGUACUGUAUUGUUUUAUAUUUUAUUACUGCAAACCACUCUGGGGCCUACUGUCAAAGGGCAAUAUACAAAACUCUUCAAUAAAUAAAUAGUUUGGUCCUAGUGGGCAUAGGAUUGCAGCUAUAUUCAUCCCACACCACUUCAGCAUUUACACAAAACUGGCUUCGUCUUCUCUUACUUGUUGGUAGAUAGGAAAUGCUCUGUACUGGGUGGAGACAUGAUGCAGGAGGGCGUGAGGAGGGUCAGUUGUGGGAGAAUGAGAAAUGUCUCUAUUUCAACUGAGGAAUGUUGGAAGGUAUGGGCUUUAGCUUUUUCAUGGGAUUUCCUCACCCUGCCUGCUUCUCUUUCCUGCUUGUUUCUCCACCCCCUGGAAGUCGUAGAUUGCUCUGGACCAUCCAAUCCAACCUGUAGUGAUCCAUGGUUGUCUGAACCCAACCCAACCAACACCCAAGUCCCUCCAAAUAAGCCUAAUGUGGCUCAGCACUGGGCCAAAUCCAGUGCACAGCUCUACAACUUACAUAGCAUGUACUGGUAUGUUAAUUGCAUUCACAUAAUCAGCAUCACAUCUAGUUUGUGCUAUGCAUACCAGGGGGUGAUGGGUUCUGUGUAACACCUUUUGGACCCGUUGAGCUCCUGGUGUUUGUGUACAGUGGUACCUCUAGUUACGAACUUAAUUCGUUCCAGAGGUCCGUUCUUAACCUGAAACUGUUCUUAAUCUGAGGCGUGCUUUCACUAAUGGGGCUUCUUGCCGCCACUGCGCCACCGGCACACGAUUUCCGUUCUCAUCCUGGGGCAAAGUUCUCAACUUGAGGUAACUCUUCCAGGUUAGCGGAUUUUGUAACCUGAAGCGUUUGUAAGCUGAGGCAUUUGUAACUUGAGGUACCACUGUGCUGUGGAGCUCUGAGGUGCAGUUUCAUUUUUGAGAUUUGUGUUGCAGUAAUAAAGGGCAGUUGUGCUUGAGAGGCCUGCUUCCUCCUAAUUUGGUUUUGCCUGUAGGGAUAUCUGUGGGUGGAAGGCGUGGGUGCCCGCAACACCUCCAUGCACUCUGCCCCAUGUUCUUAGCCCCCAAUCUUUCUGUGUUGAGCUCAAACGCAUGUAGAACACCAUGCGUGAUCAGGGUUCCCAGUCACACUAAGGAUGCCUGCAACAUCUCCUUGCAGACCUCCAGUCCACACAGAAGAGGUUGGGGACCGAGUGUGUGAGGUGACGGCACAGGGAUGUUGGGAGUGAGGUUUGUGUGCACACCCCUGCACACCCACACCCACCUACAGAUUCACCAUUUGCCUGUUCAUGCCUUUAAGAAACUGAACAUGCCUUUAAAAAAACUAGCAAUCUGAGCAAAGGCAGAAAAAAAGUUACAAAGCAAUAAUGAGUGGAAAUUUUGGUGGAGAAAACAAUAAUAAAAAUGAAGAGGCAAUGGGAAAAGAAAAUGAAGAAAAGACUUUACUUUGAAGGAAACACUAAUGAAACAAAAGAAAAAUGUUCUGUGACUGAAUGAACAAAUACAAAGUGCUGGGUAUAUUUUAGGAAGUAUAUAAAUAAUAAAUAAUAAGGGAUACAGAGCUCCAUUUUCCAUAAAUAGCACACUGCCUACAGCUUUUGAGAUGAAUGCUGACAGAAGGCUGUUCUUACCAGCUUAUGAUUUUCUCCCUUAUUUCUACCUAAGCUUAUUGCUACAUUUGAUAAAAUUCUUCCUGCAAGGAAACACAAUUGCAUAGCUUUGGAAUGACACAGGAAGUCAGACCUAUAGUCUCUCUAUCUCAGUACUGCCUGUGCUGACAGCCAACAGAUUUCUUGGAAGUUUUACCCAGCAGCCCCACCUGGAGAAGCCAGGCAUUAAACACUAGUAAUUUUUUGCAUGCAAAACAGGGGCCCUGAUGCUGAGCCAUGACCCUUGAGCCACGGCUACCUUCUGACUAACUGAUGGAUCCUGGUGGACUCAGCCCCUCCCUGCCCUCAGAACAUGCCAUCUGGAGAGGAGGGAGGGCUUAUAUGUGGGUUGCUACUGGUGGAGAUGCUGCCACCAGCACUUUUGCCCAUGCACACAUUCGGUAGGUGAAGCAGGAAAUUCUGCACUGGCUGGGUGACACUUCAUUGACAGAAUCUGGCAGGUGUCCCUCCCCCCAAAGGUGCCAGAUUAAACCCUGUGGAUACCCCUAGGCAGUUGAAAACCUGGGGAGGGGGCUCACAAAUUAUCUCUAAUACAUUUUUGUAAUUUUCUUUCAAUAUCAAAUCAAUACAGUGCUACCUCAGGUUAAGUACUUAAUUCGUUCCGGAGGUCCGUUCUUAACCUGAAACUGUUCUUAACCUGAAGCACCACUAUAGCUAAUGGGGCCUCCUGCUGCCGCCGCGCCGCCGGAGCACGAUUUCUGUUCUCAUCCUGAAGCAAAGUUCUUAACCUGAAGCACUAUUUCUGGGUUGGCGAAGUAUGUAACCUGAAGUGUACGUAACCUGAAGCGUAUGUAACCCGAGGUACCACUGUAUAUUUUUGAUCCGUUGUCGUGGGGCCUGUAAAAGCUCUGGGCCCCAUAGGCUGGUGUCUACUCUGGUAAUCCAGCACUUCUCUGUACCCGUGCCCCAGUGGUGCAAAGGAGUUUUGCAGCCUUGGGGCAUUCUUGUUGUAAAUGGCAACAUUUCAAUGUAUUUAUUUAGUGAAUGUGUAGACCACUUUUCAGCCAAAAAAGAUUGCACUCAUCCAAGCAUUUAAGUGAUUUUCUUGUUUAUGUAAAAUAACAGCAGUACUUAGCAUUUACAUAGCCCCUUAUUGUAUUCAAAGGAUUAUUGUAAGAGAAGUCAGUAUUAUUAUUCGGGUUGCCGAAGGUCACCUAGUGAGUUGAUGCGGUUGGCGAGAGCUGAACAGAUUAGAGCCCCUCAUUCAUAUAACAGUCUCUUACCUGCCAUGACACACUAUGGCCGCGUUUCUUCUGUGUUUCCUAAUUAUUCUUAAGGUUUGGUUGCCAACCGCUCUCAGGCUGAAGUAGUUGGAGGACCUCAGAGUGCUUUUUAUUUUCCACCGACUGUCGUUCAUUGCAUGAGUCGCUUUGAGCAUACAACAUUGUAUGUCACAUUAUACAAAUAGCUCUCUGACAUGGUUUUUUAAAAAAACGAAUAAAUAAACACAUACUUUUAAGAGUAAUGUCUCAACUUCUUCAGGUCAUUUUUGGUAUGCUUCCCCCCCCCUCAGGUAAACAGGUGGGAAACAGAACCUUAAGACAAGGAGACCUCAGUAAAACCAUUUGAAUUAAAACAAGUAUAAUGCUAUUUUCUCAGGCGGGUUACACGUUACAAAUAUUAUUAUUUUUGCCUGGAGUGGUGCUGGAUCAAAAGGGCAUACGAGGAUUCCUUGUUUUCUAGAAAUGUAAAGUGUGCAUUUUCUUUUGGUAGCCUCUUUGGCUUGGACUGUAAUGAGGCUUUCAUGAAUGGAAAAGGGGUUUUUUUCUAUUUAUUGGAACAUAGGAAGCUGCGUUAUUCUGAGUCAGACCAUCUAGCUCAGUAUUGCCUACACUGACUGGAAGCUCCUUUCUGGAAUUUCAGGGAAGAGACUUUCCCAAGUCCUACCUUGGGCUGGGAAAUGAACCCGAGACCCUCUGCAUGCAACCAAGAUCCAGAGGAAGAUCCCACUGGUGGAAUGGGCAGGAGGGAUUUUUUUUUACUAAGGCUCCCUCCCCCUGCAUCUUCCUCCCUCCAUUUCAUGAUGUUCCCCACAACUGAGCAAAUUUUGGGAGGCACAAAGUGCUGAAGUUGGAAGGGCAAAUGCUAGAAAUUGUCUUCCCCAUUCCACUGAUGGAAGCAUCACAUCAGCAGAAUGCCACUCAGUGGGCACUUCUACCCUUUGGAGCAAACUCAUUAUCCCAACCUUGAUUUCUGAGAGCCUAAAAAAAUUCUAGAUGUCAUAUAAGGAGCAUCUCCACCUACUUCAGUAUGGCAGUGAAGAAACAGGAUUCAAGUAAAUGAAUGUCCAUCAGUGAGAGAUUUCCCCUCUCUCAUAUUGAAUUUCGAAAACAAAUUCUAUGGCUUAUCAGCUUUUAUUUUUACAGCAGAGGAUAAAUUUAGGCCACAUCCAGACCUUACAUUAAUAGCACUAUUAUACCCUUAACACAGUCAUAGCCUCCCCCAAAGAAUUCUCAGAAUGUUCUAACCAUCAAUCCCUUUCCCCAGGGAACUCUGGGAAGUGUAACUCUGUGAGGAGAAUAGGGGCUUCCUAACAGCUUUCAGCACACUUAACAAACUACAGUUCCCAGGAUUCUUUUUGGGGAAACCAUGGCUGUUAAUGUGGUAUAGUAGUGCUUUGAAGAUAUGGCCUUAUGUAGUUUGGAAAACAUGCUUUAUUUAAGCCAGGUGAUGGUGAAAGAAUACUUCAGGAAAUAGCAAUUACGUGAUAUACUGGCCAGGCAAUUUCCCCAGCCAUUCUGUCAAAGCAACCACUUUAUUCCAUUAAAAAGGAGAGAAGCCACUGAAGUAACCUUGUUACUGAAGAGAAUUCCUCAAGAAAAAUAUGAGGAAAACCCUCUCUUCAUUUCCCCAUCAGACAAAGCAGAGAGGUUUUUUUAUGUGUCAUUCCAAUGUUCUCUCACAAAGCGCAUUGUUAAUUUGAAGUGGAACAUAUCAACACUUGGUAGCAGUGGAUAUUUCUAUUUCUGCCUCAUACUCAGAUUGUAGCCAAGCAAUCUGAGACUUAUCUCUCCCACAGACAUCCCAUUGAGCAGACGGGUCACUGUGUCCAGAAGAUAAGAAAGGGUCUAGUGGAACCAGGACCCCUUUGUGGGCUCAUUUUGUGGGAACAAAUGUUAUUUGUUACAAAACUAAACACUAAUAUACAAGCAGUAGGGAAGAUGCUUUCGCACAACAUGAAAUAUGUAAAACAGCUAGCAGGAAAGUCAUGCAGAGGCAAUUCUGCUGACAUGAAUUAUACAGGCAUUCUUUACCUUAUCAUGACCUAGAUAUGCUAAUUACCUCAAGAAACGCACCCAUUGACGUCAAUGGAUUUUAGACUACUAGUGAUACACCCACACUGCAAAUAUGAUACCCAGAAACAGCAUCUAAUGUUAGCAAAUAACUUUUACACCAGCUCAUCCCAUGGGCAUGGAAUUUUUUUAAAAAAAAUGUGUUGUGAUAUGUCCUGCAAUGGUGUAUCAAAGGGAAGGCAUUAACUAAUACCUGCUAGUUUGGGGAAAAUGUUCCACCAUGCUUCUAUCUUUUGUGACUUCAGGGUGUUAUUGUUAUGGUGUCACCGUGCAAUUUAGGGGUGCGGCCCAGGUGUGGCCCUCCAGAUGUUGCUGAACAACAGCUCCCAUCAUUCCCAGCCAGCAUGGUGAAGGGUCGGGGGUGAUGGGAGUUGUAGAUCAAAGCAUCUGGAGGGCAUCAGUCUGAGGAAGGGUGGAGUAGAGGACUGUCCUUCAACUAGAGGACUGUGCUGUGUAAAGUAGGCACAUGAUCAUCCAAAGCACCAAUGAACGGUUGCACAGAUUGGCUUCUACACUAUUGGGCGCAAGGACAUGUGGUUUGGAUUGAUUACGAAUCCAACAAAGAGUGCUAGAAGAGGAAUAGAAAAGGAUCUCUCUUACUCAUCCUAAAAUGAAACACAGGGAAGCAAAAACAGCAGGAAAGAUUGGUAUGAAAAUGAACAUGGAAGAGAAGUCACCUUACAAAUCCAGUGUGGACCAGUUGUGAUACUCUCCUAGUCACUGUUAUAUGGAAGAAAGACCAGCAGUCAUGGACUUCCGGGGUGGCGCCAUCGGUAAUGGCGGACUCCCUCUGAUCCGGAGGGACUGGCUCUACGGAAAUCGGGUCUGUUCCUCUACGGCGAAGCGGGGACCCUUUAAAAAAUCACAGGCAGGUGAAGCCUGUGACCGUGGGACUCGGCGGGCACCUUUCGCCCCCCCCCCCAAUUUGUAAAGGAGCCCAAUUACGGGCUCCGGAGCGAAGCGGGGCAAGCGGCACGGUGCUGAGAGUCAACUGCUUCUUCCGUGGAGCGAAGCCAAACAGCCAUUACCGGAGAGCGCUACCUUUUUCCUGUGACAAUCUGGCUACAAAAACAACUACCUGUGAGUAGGUUAAAUUUGGACAAUUGGACUCUAAACAACGAUCCGUGAGUAGAACGGAAAUUGGACUAAGAAAUUCCUUUUAAUUUGGCACUGAAGCGGGAAGGUCUAAACAGGAAGUCAGCCUUCCGCUUUUUGUAGAAUGAUUAAAGCAAAGACAUAGCAAGCUAGAGUUUAGAAAACCGUUUGUAAAGGAUCAACUUUCAUCAUCUAAAAUUACUGAACCCCCUUUGGAAGCAGGAGAAGAGGGGGGAUUUUUUCUGGACUGUUUAAACCUGCAGAAGAGUGUGUAAAGAAAAGCAAUUUUCCACCGUCUUGAACCUGGGAGCGGGGUGUCAGGACAGACAUUUUUAGAGUUCAUUGACUAUAGACAAACGUUUUUGACAGACAGUUAUAAGAAGAGAAACAUAGUGAUUCCAUUGUUCUCCUUUGCAGUUAAAAGGAACAAAAUAUUGACAAAAUAUCUAAAAAAGGAAACUUUGUUGUUAGAUCUGCUUUAAAAAAGAGAGAGAGAGAGAUGGAUACAAAUAGAAGUUCUUCCCCUAGAGGGAGCUUGUGAAACUGUUAUUAAAUCUGAACUGGGGAGCCUUGCAGCUGCAAUAGAUUAAGAUCGUGGGAUCAGACUUUGACCUUGCACAACAAUGUACUCGGAGGCUCUGGUGCGUGCUUUCUGCAAGACAAGUGCUUUAUUGGAACAGUUACAUGAGAAGACGGAUUUGAUGACUGUUGCGAUCAGAAAUUUUGGACAGGUAGUGGGUAUCUAUAUAGAACCCACUCAGGAAUCAAUUCAGGAGUGUGCUCUGACAGAUCAGAUGAGGGAGGAGGUUGUGGCUGGACCCCGGGAGGCAGAGAUGGAGGGAACCGUGGCCCAGCAGGAACAUGAGUUGUUGGAUCUGACGAAUGAACCUGGAAAAAGCCAGAUUUGGAGAGAUAGAGUCUUGUUUGGCUUGGAGAUGGGGGGCUGGAUAGACCCCCCUAUGCAGGGAUGUUUUGACUUUUCAAGUCUGGCGUUGGGCCGGGAGGAGUUUGGGGUUGUGGGGUCCUCAACUUUGGAGGGACCUUGAAACAUGCUUUUAAAUACCACAUGGAGUUCAGUGUGGACUAUGGAAAAGGGGCUGAUCUGUCGAGAAGGGACAAAAAUAUUGUCAAGCUGGAGUCUCCACGAGUGAAAGGAGCAGAAGACAAAGUAAAGUACAGGUAUAAAUAUGAAGAAGAUCUGCGGAAGGGACAUGGAAGAGACUUAAGGGCCUCGGACAUAAGGUUACCAGGUUAAUGAACUAGAUGGAUGGGAUAGAAAGGACUGACAAAACCCGAGACCAGGAGGAAGAGACGUUGGAUGAAGAUUGGAGAAAGUUUUUAAAAUUCUAUUUAGGAAUGUUUUCUAAAAUUAAUGAGUAUUAGAAAAAUGUUGGAACGAAAUUAUUUGGCUUUAGCAGAAAUGUUAAAAAGAACUAUGUAAGAAUAUGUUAUGGUUAUGAGAAAUUGGUAUAAAUAAGAUUUAAGUUUUAAGUUUUAGGGUUUUUUAUGGUAAGAUAAGGUUAAAAUAGAUUAAGGUAAUUUAAUGACAGACUAUUAUGAAAAAUGGAAAGGAUUUGCUGUGACAAUCAACAACUAGAAUACAAAAAGGGAGGUGUGAGGAGGUCGAUGAAAUAAGGUAAUGACAGUUAAGGAUUUGGGAAUAUUGGAUCUGUUUUUAAAUUUUUGUGGUUUAUUUUUGCUUUCUGAUUUUGAUGUGCUAUGUGUUUUGUUUUUGCUUUUUGAUUUUGACUUUUAUCGAUUUGUAUUGUUUAAUUGCUAUUUGUUUCUUUCCUUUUUUUCCUUCUUUUUCUUUUUUUUGUAAUUUUAAAAUUCUCAAUAAACAUCAUUUAAAAAAAAAAAAAAGACCAGCAGUCAUGCUGAAGUAAAAUCUGAAAGGCCUCUUGUUUAGGAGAAAACCCUUCUGUAUUGAACUCCAGCUCUCCUUCCUGACCUAAAUCCCAGAAGAACCAAUAAUGUAUUACACCACAGCCAUGUUCAUAAUCUAUGUUCUUGAUUGCUGCUGGGAAGAAGGCUUUAUUUGCCUUGGCAUCUUCUCACUUCCAGGAAUUUUGUGUCUCUCUUCAAGAGUUCUGUGUCCACCAAUGAAGGGUGAGAACCACUGAGUUGGGAAAUGUUUGUUUCUGCAUACUAAAUGAUAAUUUUAUGCUGGUGAAUGGAUAGGAUAAGUGGAAAUGGAAAUUCUUCUGCUCAUUAAAUUCUCAUGAAGAUGUACCCUGCAAAGCUGCCCUCCUAUAACAUUAUUGGCAAUGUUACAAAGCUAAAUUAGCCUGUUAGAACAAUCAGAUAAUACAACUUUGCACUAAUGCAUCAAUAAAUCUCCAAAGCACAACUACCACCUGGGGUUUUGGCAAAAGCUAUAAAUUUUAAAAAGUAAAACAGCAUAUUUAUCUCCAGAGUUAAGAACAUAGGGCUUAUCCACACCUCUUCUUCUCCUGCUGUUUCCCCCCAGGGGAAACUGCUCUUUAGCACUAAAUCAGAGCAAAUGUCAAUUCUGGUUUUCUCCAGAUUGAUGUUUGCUCCAGUUUGGUACUAAAGAGCAGGUUUUCCUUGGGAAACGAAUGGGGCAAGGGGGAAACCACUUGGGCCUGUGUUUUCUAGGCAUGGAACAAGCAGAAGUGUAGACAAACCUAUGAAAUAUAGGAAAAGCCCUCUUGGAUUAGACAAAGGAUCCACUUAGUCAAAUAUCUAGUUUCCAGCAGUGGUCAGUCUGCUGUUAAUAGAGCUCCCAAUAAGAUAUUUAAUACAACACAAGAGAGAAUUAAUGAUUCAUGGGAAUUUAGCAAUAUAGGAAGCUGUCAUAUACAAAUUCAAACCACCGAUCCAUCUAGUUCAGUACGGUCAUGAUGAUCCUUCUUUAGCAGACUUACAUUAUGAUUAUAAUAUAAAAUAAUAUAAUAUAAUAUAAUAUAAUAUAAUAUAAUAUAAUGAGCCCUGCUGGGUCAGGCCAAAGGCCCAUCCAGACCAGCAUCCUGUUCUCACCAUGGCCAACCAAAUGCCUAGAUGGGAAGUUUGCAAGCAUAAUGCCAUUCUCCCCAUUUGCAAUUCCCAGCAACUGGCAUCCAGAGGCGUACUGCUUUUGACAGUAGAGGUAGGCCACAGUCGUCAUGGCUAGAAGCAAUGGAUAGCCUUUUCUGCCAUGAUUUGUCUAAUCCACUUUUAAAGCCAUCCAAGUUGGUGACCAUCAUAACAUCCUGUGGGACCAAAUCACAUAGCUUAACUAUGCGUUGUGUCACAAAAUGCUUUCUUUUGUCUGUCCUGAAUCUUCCAACAUGCAUGAUUGAUAAUAAAAAUGCACAGCUUACUCAUAUGAUUAAACAGCAAAAUGCUUUUUAAAAGGACAGCUCUGAGCCAUUUUUGCAGAGGUUUCAGAUAGGGGUCGUUCCAUCUGCAAGCAUAACAGAUGUUCUACUACUAAGCUAUGAACUUUCCUGAAUAGCAAUCGUUCUUUAACAGUUUUGGGACCUCGUGCUAGAGCAGGAAGUCCUCCAGUGAGACUCACUUUUGCCACCAAAUCUUGGCAGCAAGAACAUAGUGGAGAAACAGAAUUGCUUCUGUGCUUGUCUUCCAGUUGUAGCAGUAAUUGUCACUCAAGUCAAGCAAAUGAUCUACUUAUUCCAGCAGCUGACAUACUAACACUUGGAGGUCUUAUAUUGUUCUCACGGGUCAUUAGAAUUUCCUGUCUGGUUUGGAAAGAUCAGCCAUGGUUCCAAAAUGACUCAUUGCCACCUGCGACCCAUCUCAAGCAGGAUUAUAAACAACAUACCCUUAGAAUAGUGAGUGAAAUGCCUCCCCUUCAGCAACAUUCUCUUUAGAGAACAUCAAAGGAGAUGGCAGAUUCAAUCACCAUUGAGAAGAUGGAGGAGGAAAUAUAGUAACAUAUUGCCUGACAUUGUCAUGAUCCAUGAGUGGCAGAAAACAGACAUCCUGUAAGUAGGGAGACUUCCAUCUGGCAAGAAGAUGGCUUUAAUGAGUGGCACUGUGAUAUGACAGAUAGUAACAGAAAGUAGAAAGUCAGAUUAGAAAAUUAGCUUUCCUUGUUUCACAUCUGCACAAUGGGGCAGCUGCCAGUCACUGUCUCCAGGGGGAGGUUUAUCUGGUUUUGCAACCACGUGCAAAGUCAUGUUCCUCUAAGUUUUAAAAAAACAGCAUAAAAUGAAUCAGUCUGUUAUGGAGCUUUAAACAAAUGUGAGGAUGAGAAGCAAGCUGUUGCAAAUUGGCACAGAUGAUGCAGAAUAUUAAUAUGAAAUGAAAUGUUGCAUUUUCCAAUAAAAUGCAGAUCUCAGUUAACUCUUCCAUACCUAUAGCACUCUCCCCACCAUAAAUGGAAAUGGCUACAAAUUAUAUAGGACCAUGAAUGUCAUCUAUAAAUUGUACUUAACCAUUUAAAGAAUGUAUAAAAAUACAAUUCACAUAUAAUCUUACAAAAAAGUAUGAACUUGCAUGAAACAUACUGUCAGGGAACUGCCAUCGGACGGAAGGGAGGUGAAAGGGCUCACACAGGUUGGGAGAGACGCAGCAGCUGAAGAGGGAACCAGCAGGGAGGUGAAAGGGCUCACACAGGUUGGGAGAGACGCAGCAGCUGAAGAGGGAACCAGCAGGGGAGAGGAGCUGAGCUGGAGGGAUGGCUCAGAGACACUUCCAGCGAAAACAGUGGGGAGGUUUCAGGACCUCCUGUAAGAACACCCACUCCUCGCCGGAAACUGUCACGCAGAGAUUCCAGAAGACGUGUUUCCGUUAAGGAGCUUUUAUGUUGGAAGCGAUUACGAAAGCAACCACUGUCGGAAUCUGCUAGUGACUAGAGGAGACAUGUCUGAGGGGCUCCGUCACAGACAGAGGUUUGUGGACUUGAACAAACUCUGAGGGGAUACGAUUUUACGCACAAGCAGCUCAUCAUCCCAUCACAGCAUUCCGACAGUCUUUGAAAGCAGCUUGUGCAGGAGAAGGCAUCAUGAGCAACCCAGCCGGAACCGGAGAAGCAGGAGCUGGAGUGGGUCCAAGCCUGGAAGAAAGGUACCGGGUGUUGGAGGUCCAGCUAGCGAUGCAGACGGCGAGGCUUGAGGAGAGGAGGGCUCAGGAUGCAGACCACCAGGGCAAAGCCCCCCAGCUCGCCAGAAAGGUACCAGGAUUGGUGCAGAAGUUUGGGGGAGCCCACAAACUAUCAUGGCUUUCGGACAGCAAUGCAAUAUGCCCUCAAUCUGCAGUUUGAUGAAUUCCCUGACGAGGAAUCACGAGUGGCUUUCGUGAUUGAGCAUCUUGAAAAGGGGGCGAGAGACUGGGUUAGACCCCUGAUGGCAGCGAAUAGUGACGUCCUAAAGGACACGAUGAAGUUCUUUCGCGCCAUGGAUCUGAUGUUUUCCAGCGAUAUUGAAAAGGGAGUGGUGCGCAGACAGUUAAUGGGUUGCAAACAGGGGAGCCGAUCUGUCCGUGAGUAUUGGACUGAGUUCACCAUGCUUGUUCACAGAUUGGGGUGGGACUUAUCGGCGGAACCCAUUCAAAUGCUCUUUGAAGAAGGGCUUUCUUCGGCUGUGAAAGACGAACUUUCCCGGGCGCCCAGGGCGGAGUCUAUGGACCAGCUGACCAAAUCAGCGCUGGCCAUAGGAGCGCGCCAGGAGGCGAGAGCAUUGGAGAGGCGGGAAGGGAAAGGGGAACGUUGGAAGGAGUUCCGCAUUCCAGACAUUCCAGAGCCAACUUUCCCACCGGCAGAGCCGAUGGAAAUCGGAACAGCAGCGCGCGCGCAGUUUCAAAGCCCAGUGAGGGGGCAAAGAGGAGGGAAAAGGCGCCCGGAAAUGCUAUCUCUGCCAACAGCCAGGUCACUUUGCCAGAGUCUGCCCCCAGAGGAAAGAAUGGCAAGGGAUGGUAGGAGCUGUGGAUGGAAGAGAGGAAGAAAUACCGGAGCAAGUAAAGCCAACGCCUGGCUGCCACUGUCGGGGCACAGCAGCCAGGCCAAAGAGCAGUGAGAGUGCCCACGCCAGAACCUCCUAAACCCGCUCUAGUGAUAGAAGUGACGCUAGAGCUGCCAAACGGACACCCUCUAAAGAUAAAGGCGCUGUUGGACUCAGGCAGCUCCUGCAAUUUCAUGAGCAAAGAGUUUGCAGCUGAACACCAGAUACAGACAAUCCCUUUAAGCAGCCCCCUGCAGGUGACCACGAUCGAUGGCAGGGAGCUGUUGGGUGGAGAAGUCAGCUUGCAGACCGUCCCAAUGAUAAUGAAGGUAGCAAGGCACACCGAACUGAUAGCUUUUAAUGUGGCCACCUUGGGAGGAGCUCCCAUUAUAUUGGGGAUGAGCUGGCUAGCGUUACAUGAUCCGCUGGUGGGCUGGCAUCAGAGAGUGGUUUCUUUUGGUUCAGCACAUUGCUUAGAACACUGCAAAGAGGGAAAGGGUUUGGCAGGGGUCCAAGCCACCCUAGCAGGGACUGAAGUAACAGAGAACGUGAAGGUACCACGACAAUAUGCAGAUCUCCGUGACGUCUUCAGCGAAAGGGAAGCUGACCAACUACCCCCGCAUAGACCCUUUGACUGUCAAAUCAAUUUACUCCCUGGAGCACAGCUCCCUGUAGGCAAGCUGUACGCCAUGUCAGACAGAGAGAUGCAGGAGUUAAGAGAGUUCAUUGACAAGAACCUGAAGAGAGGGUUCAUCAGAGAGUCCAGGGCGGUGGAUAAGAAAAACACGAACAAGCCAAGGCUGGUGUGUGACUUCAGGGCCUUAAAUGCAGUGUCAGAACCAGUAGCCUUCCCUAUGCCCAGGAUUGACGACAUUUUGACAAGGGUGCGGAAGGGAAAGAUUUUCACCAAGCUGGACCUAAGGGGGGCGUACAACCUGGUACGAAUAAGGAAGGGGGAUGAAUGGAAAACCACUAUGUUCACCCCUUUAGGGGCAUUUGAAUAUUUGGUUAUGCCCUUCGGCCUACAAGCAGGCUCCGCAACAUUUCAAUCGUUUAUGAACCACGUCCUGGGGCCUUUGCUUUACAAGAAUUGUGUGGCCUUUUAGACGACGUGUUGGUGUAUUCUGAGAAUGAGGAGCAGCAUGUGAGAGACGUCAGAGAAGUGUUGAGCAGGCUGCAAGCCAACCAGCUGUGGGUGAAACUGGAGAAGUGUCAGUUUCAUACCAAGGAGGUGGAAUUCCUGGGGUAUCGCCUGUCAGACAAGGGAUUGGCCAUGGAUCCCGGCAAGGUCCAGGCGGUGCUGGAAUGGAAAACACCCAAAACAAAGAAGGAUGUGCAGAGGUUCCUAGGAUUUGGGAACUUCUAUCGUAAGUUCAUCCGAAACUUUGCCCACCUGACGGCGCCCAUUACGGACUGUCUCAGCAGUAAGAAGAAGUUCGUGUGGACUGAGGAGGCGGAGCGAGCAUUUGAGGAACUAAAAGGGCCUUCGCUCGGAACAACAACUCCUGCAUGUGGAUAUACAAAAACCGAUGAGAGUGGAAACUGACGCAUCAGACAGAGCGAUUGGGGCGGUGCUUCUGCAGCCAGGGAAGAAGGGGUCAGAGUGGAGACCGUGUGCCUUUUUUCGCGAAAGCUGAACAAAUCCGAGAGGAACUACACGGUGUAUGACCGAGAACUACUAGCCAUUCAUGAGGCGUUCCGGAGAUGGAGGCACCUGCUAAUUGGCGCACAACAUAAGGUGCAAGUGUGCACUGACCACAAGAACCUAGAGUAUUGGAGGACGGCACGAGUGCUCAACCAACGGCAAGUGAGAUGGGCCCAGGAGUUCUCCAAAUUUAACUUUGAGAUUAGUUACGUGCCAGGCCCAGAGAACAUUAGGGCGGACGCUCUCUCGCGCAAACCUGAAUAUUUGGAGGGGGAGGGGCACCCGAAGAGAGACAUGUCAUUCCAGAGGACCGCUGGGUGUGUGGGCGGCAUUGGUGGGACAAAGAGAACUGGUAGAGGAAACAGAGAAUGAUGAAUACGCCCAGAAUAAGCUCAGAGGUCUUAGGGGUGAGGGAGAGGAACCAGGGGUUUCGAGGAAAGAAAUGGAGCUUUGUAUUACAAAGGGGCACUGUAUAUCCCUGAAGGAGAGUUAAGGGGAGGGUACUCAAGCAGUUGCACGACAGCCCUACGGCAGGGGCAUUUUGGACAACACAAAACCAUGUGGUUGGUCACCAGGGAAUUUUGGUGGCCUAAGGUGAGGGAAGAUGUACGUGAGUAUGUAAGAGGGUGCGAGCAAUGCCAGCGAGCCAAAGGGGAAAGGCGGGCGCCAGCGGGGCUAUUAGAACCCUUACCAACCCCAGAACGACCUUGGGAGGCAGUGUCGAUAGAUUUUAUGACUGAUCUGCCGAAGUCCAAAGGGAAAACAGCCAUCAUGGUGGUGGUAGACCUACUAACAAAGAUGUGCCACUUUGUAGCUUGCUCGCAUGCAGUCACGGCGGAAGAGACAGCGAAGUUAUUUGUAGAACACAUUUUUAGGUUGCACGGGGUGCCAUUGAGGGUGGUCUCAGACCGAGGAAAACAAUUUACUUCCAGGUUCUGGAGGAAGCUCAUGAGCUUACUGCAGGUGGAGGUCAAUUUUUCGACUGCCCGGCACCCUGAAACCAACGGGCAGGCGGAAAGAGCAAACGGUGUCCUCCAGCAAUACUUGAGGUGUUAUGUCAAUGACAGAGAGAAUGACUGGGUAGAAAAGUUGGCGCUGGCGGAAUUUGCCUACAACAAUGCCGAGAAUGUGUCCACAGGGAUGAGCCCCUUCUUGGCUAAUUAUGGGUGUCAUCCCAGGGCUUUCCCAGGGGAGAUGGGCAGAGAUGGAGCGUCCCGGCAGCCGAGCAUUUUGUGGAAGAAAUGGAAGCAAUCCAUCGUCAGCUCCAACUCAACUUAGAAAGGGCGAAGGAAGAAUACAAGAGGCAGGCAGACAAGAACCGAAGGGAAGGUGAAACCAUAAGGGUGGGAGAUAGGGUGUGGCUGUCAACCCAAGGGUUGCCGUUCAAAGGAGGUUGUAAGAAAUUAAGACCCAGGAGGUUGGGUCCCUUUGAGGUCAUUCAACAGGUCAACCCAGUGGCUUUCAGGCUCCGGUUACCCAACCACAUGAAACUGCACCCAGUAUUUCACAGGUCGUUACUGUCACCGUACGAAGGGGGACGAGAAGGGCUGGCCACUCGGGGACCGGUCGUAGAAGAAAGAGAAUGCAGCAGCCAUGUGGCAGAAAUCCUCGACGCCAGGUGGAAGGGGGAUCAGGUGGAGUAUUUGGUAGCGUGGGAAGGAGAACCGGAGUCAGAAAACACUUGGGUAAUGGCUGAAGAUAUCAAUGACGAGGUAUUGAUAGAAACGUUCCAUCAAAGGUUCCCAAGGAAACCUCAGCCUGUGGAGAGGUUCCGGAGGGAAUACUUUGGGACCACUGAUGAAGGGGAGGAGUUGGAAGGAUUCCCGGACUCGGAAGGGGAAGGGAGAUGGACUCUGAGGAGGAGGUGUACUUCGAGACCAGGAACCGCAACAGGUUGAGAGAAGUGUUCGAGACAUCGGAAGAUGAAGGAAGUUCAUUCCGGGUUUUGCCUCCUCACCGCCCGUAGAGGAGGGGGCGAGAGGGGGUGAAGGGGGCCCUGGAGGGGAGGUGGAUGUCAGGGAACUGCCAUCGGACGGAAGGGAGGUGAAAGGGCUCACACAGGUUGGGAGAGACGCAGCAGCUGAAGAGGGAACCAGCAGGGAGGUGAAAGGGCUCACACAGGUUGGGAGAGACGCAGCAGCUGAAGAGGGAACCAGCAGGGGAGAGGAGCUGAGCUGGAGGGAUGGCUCAGAGACACUUCCAGCGAAAACAGUGGGGAGGUUUCAGGACCUCCUGUAAGAACACCCACUCCUCGCCGGAAACUGUCACGCAGAGAUUCCAGAAGACGUGUUUCCGUUAAGGAGCUUUUAUGUUGGAAGCGAUUACGAAAGCAACCACUGUCGGAAUCUGCUAGUGACUAGAGGAGACAUGUCUGAGGGGCUCCGUCACAGACAGAGGUUUGUGGACUUGAACAAACUCUGAGGGGAUACGAUUUUACGCACAAGCAGCUCAUCAUCCCAUCACACAUACGAAUGAAAUUUAUAAACUACAGUGAUUAUAAACUCAACAAUAUAGAAUGAUACCUUAACAUCAAGCUAAUGUGAUAAACCACAAUAAAAUGAAUGCUGAAGAAAGACCAAAUGUGUUUCAACUCCCCAGACAGCCUUUCUCAGUGGUCAACUAAUGAACGGCACACAGUGUUGUAUUAUGGCUGAUCUAAUGUAUAUAGGUAAGGCUUAGUCAGUAGAGCAUGAGACUCAGGGUAAUGGGUUGGAGCCCCACGUUGACUGAAAGAUUCCUGCAUUGCAGAAGGUUGGACUAGAUGACCCUUGUGGUCCCUUCCAAUUAUUUGAUUCUAAGAGACCAAACAUAGUCAUAGAUUAUAAUGCCCAUAUUGUGAGUCUAAACAUGUACAGGCUGAUAUAAAAGGUGGCCUUUUUCUAGUGCCCAAUCAUAUCUAUUUCUAAGGCAGUCUCCAGAUUUGGUAAAUCAUGCACCAUCACUGUUAUAAUUCCAGUACAUGCCUAGCUGGAUUUUCCUAUAACCAUAACUGAUAUCCUCAUCCUCUAUAGGUGGGGCAAAUGCAUAGUGCCUUCCAGAUGUUGUUAGAUUAAAAUUUCCAUCAUCCCUGACCACUGUCCACACUGGGUGGGUCUGGUGAGAGUUGUAGCCCAACAACACCUGGAUGGAAGUACAUUGGAUACUCCUGCUCUACUGGAACAAACCAAACUAAACUAAUCUGAAAGUUGUAGUCUCACCUUUAUGUAAUGUCAACUGAAUCCAUUGAGAUUUACUUCUGAAUAAACUAAUACAGGACUGAAGUGCACAUCUAAGUGUGGAUAGCUACAUCUGUGCAUAAUCCUGCCCUGCUUCCCUUCCCUCUCUUCUCCCUGCUAUGUUGAAAUGUACAUUAUAAGGUCCUGGGAACAGGACGGUGCAUUCAUUUAUGGGUUUCAGAGAAAGGAUACAUCGCACGUUUCCAGAGGGAGGCCAUGUUUUGAGAGUGGCUCAGCCUAAGAAUGGACAUGAUCGUGUGACAAGAUAAAUGUGUGAACCAUCAGAUAGGAAAAGUCAAACACCUCAUAACUGUGACCUUUUCAUCAGUCUACACUAUGACUGUCUGGUCAUUUUAAUUUUCUCUUCCAAGAUAACUGCGGGAGAAAGGAAACAGCCAUCUAGUCCAAUUACAAAGAUACCCAAAAGGUCAGAGUGGCAUACAGAUUAUGGUUAUCUUUCACCAGAUUGAUGGGGCACAAAUGUUCUUUCAAGAUACUAAUCAGGUCAGCAGAACAGGAAUUAUUCAAGCUAGUUUUACGUACUGAAAUGGGACAGGGUGUAUGGUCUCCUGUAGAUCUUAGUUCUGUUGGUUUAUGCUUACAUUUGUUAACACCCCUUUAUAUACAGUACACACUUAAAUCUAUUAUCUGACUCAUGGGAAGAGUCCAUUACAUGACUCUUAUUACUAGGGACAAACAGGAUCUUGUCUUAAGACCGGAAGGUAUAGGGAACACAAACAUCUUCAGGCAAUUGCUUUACAGUGUAGCAGAAAGAGGCACAGAUUACCCAAAUUUGUGGGUUGUUUGUGAAUUUCAUCCUGGAUGGGGAGGGAGAAUAAAUCCAGAUCCAGAAUGGCUUAAUUAUAGCAAACCCCCUAAGUAGUUUACAAGAAACAUGCAAAUGUCUUCACUGUGUCAUUUCAAUCUUUCCCCUCUGCUCCGCUGCCCAGUCACUCUCCAUUACUUCUCCCUGGCAUAUACUGAAGAUUGCUUUGAAAGUAACUUUGGCUCUUGGACCACUAGGUGACACCAGUGCUCACCAAUCCAUCCCUUCUUCCCUGCAUCAAACUGGUUUGACAAAAUGUGUCGGCUUCCAAAUCAGAUAUUCAAUUGGGUUUGUUGAAGAUAAAGGUAAAGGGACCCCUGACCGUUAGGUCCAGUCGCAGACGACUCUGGGGUUGUGGCGCUCAUCUCACUUUACAUGCCAAGGGAGUUGGCGUACAGAUUACGGGUCGUGUGGCCAGCAUGACUAAGCCGCUUGUGGCGAACCAGAGCAGCACACGGAAAUGGCGUUUACCUUCCCGCCGGAGAGGUACCUAUUUAUCUACUUGCACUUUGAUGUGCUUUCGAACUGCUAGGUUGGCAGGAGCAGGGACUGAGCAGCGGGAGCUCACCCCAUCGCAGGGAUUCGAACCGCCAAGCUUCUGAUCAGCAAGCCCUAGGCUCUGUGGUUUAGACUACAGUGCCACCCGCAUUGAAGAUAGAACCCGUGCUGAAGAUAGGGUUGCCGUAUUUCAAAAAGUGAAAAUUGUAGAGCUUUCUUUGGCCGAAUGAUGAUGAUGAUAAAUAAGUUUUGUUUACUUUUAUAAAUUUAGCACUCAACUUUAGUCUUCAAAUGAAUAAAUAUUUUUUUAAAAAAUACACAUUGUUAAUGUGCCAGCAAUGUGUAUUUUUUAAAAAUAAGCAAAGUGUCCAGAAAAUUCAGUCAGAUUCCUUUGGGAAAUACUAUUUUCACCAAAGCUGCUUGAGAAAUAUGUGUUGACAUUAACAUUUUGCCCAGUCAGUGCUUGCAUUUCUGUUAUGGCGUUCGAGUGGGAAAUAUUUUAAUUCAGUGCUACUAUCUGAAAAUGCAUAGCAAGUUUCUCAUUAAUCACAUGUCUUCCUCUAUCUAUUUUUGCUGCACAGGUGUGAUGCUACCACCAUCAUCUGAAUUGCAGGAUGAGUGGAAAUGCCAGCAUGUAUUUCACUCCUUUCUUUUGAUAGUUCCAUUCAAGCAACAAGCAAGCUGCACAGAAAACCUCUCUCCUGAUUGGAUUGCUCUGUUGGUAACUCCCUAACAAAUGAACAAGUACGUUGAUGAAAGGAACAAGUGAUGUCACUGUCUCCAACUCUUUCAAGGGUGCAUGAGCUUUGAUACUUCCCAUUAUUUCAGAACCAGCAAAGCUGAUCAGAGACUGAUAACAAUAAUUUCUGGUUAUUUUAUUAUAUUUUAUAUCUUAUAUUUUAUAAGGAUUGAGAUUGUACACAGAUCCAUGCACUAAACCUAUAACUUAAGACAUCUACUGUAUUAUUCUUCAUGAUGUGGUCUUACACACAGACAACCGCUAAAUUCUGUAUUGCCCCCAAAUGGAAGCACAAAUAACCUCUAACUAUAAUGGAAUGACUAAGAAAAACCUGGCAAGUUAUGCUAAUGAUAAAACAAGAGUAACACAAUAUAUAAUAAUUGAGAAAAUGC